GAUGAACGCUGGCGGCGUGCCUAAUACAUGCAAGUCGAGCGAACAGACGAGGAGCUUGCUCCUCUGACGUUAGCGGCGGACGGGUGAGUAACACGUGGAUAACCUACCUAUAAGACUGGGAUAACUUCGGGAAACCGGAGCUAAUACCGGAUAACAUGUUGAACCGCAUGGUUCAACAGUGAAAGACGGUCUUGCUGUCACUUAUCGAUGGAUCCGCGCCGCAGUAGAUAGUUGGUAAGGUAACGGCUUACCAAGGCAACGAUGCGUAACCGACCUGAGGGAGGGAUCGGCCACACUAGAACUGAAACACGGUCCAGACUCCUACGGGAGGCAGCAGUAGGGAAUCUGCCGCAAUGGGCGAAAGCCUGGCGGAACAACGCCGCGUGAGUGAAGAAAGUCUUCGGAUCGUAAUACUCUGUUAUUAGGGAAGAACAAAUGUGUAAGUAACUAUGCACGUCUUGACGGUACCUAAUCAGAAAGCCACGGCUAACUACGUG
rnacentral:rRNA from 1 species